CCUACGGGCGGCAGCAGUGGGGAAUAUUGGUCAAUGGAGGCUACUCUGACCCAGCAACGCAGCGUGAAUGAUGAAGGUCUUCUGAUUGGAAAGUUCUUUGAUUAGGGAUGAACACAGUGGCGUUACCCCAAUCGCACGCCACGGCUAACUACGUGCCAGCAGCCGCGGUACUCCAUAGGUUGCAAUCGUUCGCCGGAAUGACGCGGCUUACGGGGUGCGUAGGUGGUUUAGUAGGUUGGCGGUGUAAGUCUGCGGCUCAACCGUGACGUUACCGCUAAUACUAUUAGACUUGAGUGCAGUAGAGGUAAGCGGAAUUCGUGGUGUAGCGGUGAAAUGCUUAGAUAUCAGGAGGAACACC
rnacentral:rRNA from 1 species